CCCUAGCCCUGAUAGGAAUGGUUACCCCGCAGCCUGGGUUGGAGAGCAGAUGGGUUUGCGCGUGGGAAAGUAUCGGCGCGAGGAGUAGGAAUGGAUAGCAGGAUAAAGC
rnacentral:misc_RNA from 1 species